GACGAACGCUGGCGGCGUGCUUAACACAUGCAAGUCGAACGGAAAGGCCCUUCGGGGUACUCGAGUGGCGAACGGGUGAGUAACACGUGGGUGAUCUGCCCUGCACUUUGGGAUAAGCCUGGGAAACUGGGUCUAAUACCGAAUAGGACCACGCGCUUCAUGGUGUGUGGUGGAAAGCUUUUGCGGUGUGGGAUGGGCCCGCGGCCUAUCAGCUUGUUGGUGGGGUAAUGGCCUACCAAGGCGACGACGGGUAGCCGGCCUGAGAGGGUGACCGGCCACACUGGGACUGAGAUACGGCCCAGACUCCUACGGGAGGCAGCAGUGGGGAAUAUUGCACAGUGGGCGCAAGCCUGAUGCAGCGACGCCGCGUGAGGGAUGACGGCCUUCGGGUGGUAAACCUCUUUCACCAGGGACGAAGCGUAAGUGACGGUACCGGGAGAAGAAGCACCGGCCAACUACGU
rnacentral:rRNA from 1 species